rnacentral:rRNA from 1 species
AUUGAACGCUGGCGGCAGGCCUAACACAUGCAAGUCGAACGAGUGGCGGACGGGUGAGUAAUGUCUGGGCAACUGCCUGAUGGAGGGGGAUAACUACUGGAAACGGUAGCUAAUACCGCAUACCAUCGGAUGUGCCCAGAUGGGAUUAGAUAGUAGGUGGGGUAACGGCUCACCUAGCCGACGAUCCCUAGCUGUUCUGAGAGGAUGACCAGCAACACGGGAACUGAGACACGGUCCAGACUCCUACGCGAGGCAGCAGUGGGGAAGAUUGCACAAUGGGCGCAAGCCUGCUGCAGCCAUGCCGCGUGGAUGAAGAAGGCCUUCGGGUUGUAAAGUACUUUCAGCGGGGAGGCGUUACUCGCAGAAGAAGCACCGGCUAACUCCGUGCCAGCCGCCGCGGUAAUUC